AGAGUUUGAUCCUGGCUCAGGAUGAACGCUGGCGGCGCACUUAAGACAUGCAAGUCGAACGGAAAUUUAUUUGAAGUUUACUUUAGAUAAAUUUUAGUGGCGGACGGGUGAGUAAUACGUAGGCAACCUGCCUCAAAGAGAGGAAUAACUGGGAGAAAUUUCAGCUAAUACCUCAUAAGACCACACUGCGGCAUCGCAGAGGGGUCAAAGGAGCAAUCCGCUUUGAGAUGGGCCUACGGCUGAUUAGUUUGUUGGUGGGGUAACGGCCUACCAAGACUAUGAUCAGUAGCCGGGCUGAGAGGCUGGCCGGCCACAUUGGGACUGAGACACGGCCCAGACUCCUACGGGAGGCAGCAGUCGGGAAUAUUGGACAAUGGGGGAAACCCUGAUCCAGUGACGCCGCGUGAAGGAAGAAGGUCUUCGGAUUGUAAACUUAUUUUAUUAGGGAAGAAACAAAUGACUGUACCUAAAGAAAAAGCACCGGCUAACUACGUGCCAGCAGCCGCGGUAAUACGUAGGGUGCAAGCGUUAUCCGGAUUUACUGGGUGUAAAGGGCGAGUAGACGGGAGAUUAAGUCAGAUGUGAAAACUUAGGGCUCAACCUUAAGACUGCAUCUGAAACUGGUUUUCUUGAGUGCUGGAGAGGUAAGCGGAAUUCCUAGUGUAGCGGUGAAAUGUGUAGAUAUUAGGAAGAACACCAGUGGCGAAGGCGGCUUACUGGACAGUAACUGACGUUGAGGAGCGAAAGUGUGGGGAGCAAACAGGAUUAGAUACCCUGGUAGUCCACACUGUAAACGAUGGAUACUAGGUGUUGGCAAGCGAUUGUCAGUGCCGGCGCUAACGCAAUAAGUAUCCCACCUGGGGAGUACGACCGCAAGGUUGAAACUCAAAGGAAUUGACGGGGGCCCGCACAAGCAGUGGAGUAUGUUGUUUAAUUCGACGCAACGCGAAGAACCUUACCAAGACUUGACAUAUACAGGAAUAGUUAAGAAAUUAGCUAGUUCUUCGGAACUUGUAUACAGGUGAUGCAUGGUUGUCGUCAGCUCGUGUCGUGAGAUGUUGGGUUAAGUCCCGCAACGAGCGCAACCCUUGUCUUUAGUUGCCAUCAUUAAGUUGGGCACUCUAGAGAGACUGCCAGGGAUAACCUGGAGGAAGGUGGGGAUGACGUCAAAUCAUCAUGCCCCUUAUGCCUAGGGCUACACACGUGCUACAAUGGGUGGUACAGAGGGCAGCCAAGCCGUGAGGUGGAGCAAAUCCCUUAAAGCCAUUCUCAGUUCGGAUUGUAGGCUGAAACUCGCCUACAUGAAGCUGGAGUUACUAGUAAUCACAGAUCAGAAUGCUGCGGUGAAUGCGUUCCCGGGUCUUGCACUCACCGCCCGUCA
rnacentral:rRNA from 1 species